rfam:Ipomoea nil DNA, scaffold: scaffold2700, cultivar: Tokyo-kokei standard.
GGUUUUGUGGUGUAGUUGGUUAUCACGUCAGUCUAACACGCAGAUGUUUUUCGGUUCAAGUCCGGGCGAAGCCA